GAGGGUGUAGCUCAAGUGGUAGAGCACAUGCUUAGCAUGCACAAGGUCCUGGGUUCAAUCCCCAGGACCUCCU
rfam:Camelus ferus unplaced genomic scaffold scaffold1652, whole genome shotgun sequence.